GACGAACGCUGGCGGCGCGCCUAACACAUGCAAGUCGAGCGAGAACCAGGGCUUCGGCCCUGGGGACAGCGGCGAACGGGUGAGUAUCACGUGGAUAACCUGCCCUCGGCACCGGAAUAGCCCGGGGAAACUCGGAUUAAUGCCGGAUAGCCCCGCAGCCCUUGUGGGCCGUGGGCAAAGGUAGCUUCCGCCGCUGGACGAGGCCGGGUCCGCGACGGAUUAGCUCGGUGGGGGGGUAAUGACCCACCCAGGCGACGAUCCGUAGCUGCUCUGAGAGGACGAUCAGCCACACUGGGACUGAGACACGGCCCAGACUCCUACGGGAGGCAGCAGUGGGGAAUCUUGCGCAAUGGGCGAAAGCCUGACGCAGCGACGCCGCGUGCGGGAAGAAGGCCUUAGGGUUGUAAACCGCUUUCAGGAGGGACGAAGCCACUCGGGUGAACAGCCCAGAGGGUGACGGUACCUCCAGAAGAAGCCCCGGCUAACUACGUGCCAGCCGCCGCCGUAA
rnacentral:rRNA from 1 species